rnacentral:rRNA from 1 species
GACGUAGGGUGCGAGCGUUGUCCGGAUUUAUUGGGCGUAAAGAGCUCGUAGGCGGUUUGUCGCGUCUGCUGUGAAAACUGGAGGCUCAACCUCUAGCCUGCAGUGGGUACGGGCAGACUAGAGUGCGGUAGGGGAGAUUGGAAUUCCUGGUGUAGCGGUGGAAUGCGCAGAUAUCAGGAGGAACACCAAUGGCGAAGGCAGAUCUCUGGGCCGUAACUGACGCUGAGGAGCGAAAGCAUGGGGAGCGAACAGG